rnacentral:lncRNA from 1 species
UGUUUGGGAGCAAUUCCUUUUCUAAGACUUAGUGUUCAUAUGUUUGGGAGCAUAUUGUGCCAGAUGGUUAAAUGCACUUAGAUACUCCUGAACACUCUUGUGUCUCUACUAAACCUUUUAGAAGUUGUUCCAGCGGCACUCUUAUAAUCCUUUUUAGCAGAUACUGGUUACAAAUAAUUAUCGUGAAAUCUUUCCCAAGCUAUCUUCUUUCUGAC